rnacentral:tRNA from 1 species
GAGGGUAUAGCUCAGUGGUAGAGCACAUGCUUAGCAUGCACGAGGUCCUGGGUUCAAUUCCCAAUACCUCCU